rnacentral:rRNA from 1 species
GACGAACGCUGGCGGCGUGCUUAACACAUGCAAGUCGAACGAUGAACCCCGAAAUGAUUUCUUCGGAAAGAUGUUUGAGAGGUUUAGUGGCCAACGGGAGAGUAACGCGUGAGCAACCUUCCUUAGACAAGGGGAUAGCUACUGGCAACCGUGAUUACUACCCUCUUAGACUCCACUUACGAGUGUCAGAGAAGUUAAAGCUAUUGCGGUCUAAGAUGGGCUCGCGUCUGAUUAGCUCGUGGGUGAGAUAUAAGCCCGGCAAGGCGACGAUCAGUAACCGGGAGGAGAGAGUGAACGGUCACAUUGGAACUGAGACACGGUCCAAACUCCGACGGGAGGCAGCAGUAGGGAAUAUUGCACGAGGGAGGCAACCGUGAUGCAGCGACGCCGCGGGAGCGAUGAAGGAAGUCGUAUCGUAAAGCUCUGUGCUAGGAGAAGAUAAUGACGGUAACCGAUGAGGAAGCACCGGCUAAAUACGUG